CCCUUAGAUGUCCUGGGCCGCACGCGCGCUACACUGAUGCAUUCAACGAGUUUUACCUUGGCCGAGAGGCCUGGGCAAUCUUUUAAACCUGCAUCGUGAUAGGGAUAGAUUAUUGCAAUUAUUAAUCUUGAGCGAGGAAUUCCUAGUAAACGCAAAUCAUCAAUUUGCAUUGAUUACGUCCCUGCCCUUUGUACACACCGCCCGUCGCACCUACCGAUUGAAUGGUCCGGUGAAGCCUCGGGAUUGUGGCCAGUUCACUUUAUUGGGAGUUGGCUGUGAGAACUUGUCUAAACCUUAUCAUUUAGAGGAAGGUGAAGUCGUAACA
rnacentral:rRNA from 1 species